ACAUUUCCUCCACCAUGAAGACCAUCAUCCUCCUCGCCUGCAUCGCUGCCACCGCAAUGUGUGUGCCUAUGCAGUUUCUGGAGGUGGAACGUACCUAUCUGAGCCCUCAGCGACAGAUGGAGGCUGGACCUUCACAUCACACCAGUGUGGAAUAUCUAAUUCCUUUGGAAAGACAGCGCCCCUCAGCCACACUAGGAGUGGUCCCACAUGUUGCUGCAGCUCAGCCCAGAUCUCUCUUCCCAUCUCAGGCCUUCAUCAAACACGAGAUUCCUCAGGCUCCAGGAAGAGCUAGUGUUGAGGUGGUAAGUACAGGUUCAUUAGUUCUAUUCACUUUCUGUAGAGAAACCCAUGCAUCAGUGUUUAGGUAUUAG
rnacentral:lncRNA from 1 species